AGAGCCAUGGCACACAGGGCCAGCGCCCGGGCCGAAACCCCGCGCACUGCGCCCGAACGGUUCUUCUCCGUUUGGUUUUC
rnacentral:tRNA from 1 species